rnacentral:sRNA from 1 species
GGAUCACCGGUUCAUCGCGCCGGGUAUCGGGCUGAUAAAAUAGACCGUCCUGCUCAGCGAUAAUGUCCUGCACGCCUGGCGGAUGCUCAUGGCAAAUUGUGUCGUCAGAUAGCUGACGAGCUCCCGCUUUAUCGCUGGUUUU